CCUACGGGGGGCAGCAGUCGAGAAUCAUUCACAAUGGGGGAAACCCUGAUGCAGCGACGCCGCGUGAGUGAAGAAGUAUUUCGGUAUGUAAAGCUCUAUCAGCAGGGAAGCAAAAAGACGGUACCUUACUCAGAAGCCCCGGCUAACUACGUGCCAGCAGCCGCGGUAAUACGUAGGGGGCAAGCUUGAUCCGGGUUUACUGGGUGUAAAGGGAGCGUAGACGGUAUGGCAAGUCUGAAGUGAAAGCCCAGGGCUUAACCCUGGGACUGCUUUGGAAACUGUUAGACUAGAGUGCGGGAGAGGUAAGUGGAAUGCCUGGUGUAGCGGUGAAAUGCGUAGAUAUUAGGAAGAACACCAGUGGCGAAGGCGGCUUACUGGACAGUAACUGACGUUGAGGCUCGAAAGCGUGGGGAGCAAACAGGAUUAGAUACCCUGGUAGUC
rnacentral:rRNA from 1 species